UACAGAGGGUGCGAGCGUUAAUCGGAAUUACUGGGCGUAAAGCGCACGUAGGCGGCUUGGUAUGUCGGGUGUGAAAUCCCCGGGCUCAACCUGGGAACUGCAUCCGAAACUGCCUUGCUCGAGUAUGGGAGAGGGCAGUGGAAUUCCCGGUGUAGCGGUGAAAUGCGUAGAUAUCGGGAGGAACAUCAGUGGCGAAGGCGGCUGCCUGGCCCAAUACUGACACUCAGGUGCGACAGCGUGGGGAGCAAACAGG
rnacentral:rRNA from 1 species